rnacentral:rRNA from 1 species
GAGCAAACAGGAUUAGAUACCUGGUAGUCACGCUGUAAACGAUGUCGAUUUGGAGGUUGUUCCCUUGAGGAGUGGCUUCCGGAGCUAACGCGUUAAAUCGACCGCCUGGGGAGUACGGCCGCAAGGUUAAAACUCAAAUGAAUUGACGGGGGCCCGCACAAGCGGUGGAGCAUGUGGUUUAAUUCGAUGCAACGCGAAGAACCUUACCUACUCUUGACAUCCAGAGAAUUUAGCAGAGAUGCUUUAGUGCCUUCGGGAACUCUGAGACAGGUGCUGCAUGGCUGUCGUCAGCUCGUGUUGUGAAAUGUUGGGUUAAGUCCCGCAACGAGCGCAACCCUUAUCCUUUGUUGCCAGCACAUUAUGGUGGGAACUCAAAGGAGACUGCCGGUGAUAAACCGGAGGAAGGUGGGGAUGACGUCAAGUCAUCAUGGCCCUUACGAGUAGGGCUACACACGUGCUACAAUGGCGUAUACAAAGAGAAGCGACCUCGCGAGAGCAAGCGGAACUCAUAAAGUACGUCGUAGUCCGGAUUGGAGUCUGCAACUCGACUCCAUGAAGUCGGAAUCGCUAGUAAUCGUAGAUCAGAAUGCUACGGUGAAUACGUUCCCGGGCCUUGUACACACCGCCCGUCACACCAUGGGAGUGGGUUGCAAAAGAAGUAGGUAGCUUAACCUUCGGGAGGGCGCUUACCACUUUGUGAUUCAUGACUGGGGUGAAGUCGUAACAAGGUAACCA